AGAAUCAACGCUGGCGGCGCGCCUAACACAUGCAAGUCGAACGCGAAAGCCCCGAAAGGGGCAAGUAGAGUGGCAAACGGGUGAGUAACACGUGGGUGACCUGCCUUCGAGCGGGGGAUAACGUCCCGAAAGGGACGCUAAUACCGCAUAACAUCCUGCCUUUGAAGAGGUGGAGAUCAAAGCGUGGGAUCGCAAGACCCGGCACUUGAAGAGGGGCCCGCGCCGUGAUUAGCUAAGUUGGUGGGUAAUGGCCUACCGAAGGCAACGAUACAGUA
rnacentral:rRNA from 1 species